CCUACGGGGGGCAGCAGUGAGGAAUAUUUGUCAAUGGGCGGGAGCCUGAACCAGCCAAGUCGCGUGCAGGAAGAAGGUACUUAGUAUUGUAAACUUCUUUUGUCGGGGAACAAAGGCGGAGACGCGUCUCCGGAUGAGUGUACCCGAAGAAAAAGCAUCGGCUAACUCCGUGCCCGCAGACGCGGUAAUACGGAGGAUGCGAGCGGUAGCCGGAUUUAUUGGGUUUAAAGGGUGCGUAGGCGGGAGAUAAAGUCCGCGGUAAAAUUUUGGGGCUCAACCCCGGACGGCCGUUGAAACUGGUGUUAUAGAGUUGGAGAGAAGUAUGCGGAAUUCGUGGUGUAGCGGGGAAAUGCAUAGAUAUCACGAAGAACUCCGAUUGCGAAGGCAGCAUACCGGCUCCAUACUGACGCUGAGGCACGAAAGCGUGGGGAUCGAACAGGAUUAGAUACCCUGGUAGUC
rnacentral:rRNA from 1 species